rnacentral:rRNA from 1 species
CCGCAAGGUUAAAACUCAAAUGAAUUGACGGGGGCCCGCACAAGCGGUGGAGCAUGUGGUUUAAUUCGAUGCAACGCGAAGAACCUUACCUACUCUUGACAUCCUGCGAACUUGUGAGAGAUCACUUGGUGCCUUCGGGAGCGCAGAGACAGGUGCUGCAUGGCUGUCGUCAGCUCGUGUUGUGAAAUGUUGGGUUAAGUCCCGUAACGAGCGCAACCCUUGUCCUUAUUUGCCAGCGGGUAAUGCCGGGAACUCUAAGGAGACUGCCGGUGACAAACCGGAGGAAGGUGGGGACGACGUCAAGUCAUCAUGGCCCUUACGAGUAGGGCUACACACGUGCUACAAUGGCCGGUACAAAGGGUUGCGAGCUCGCGAGAGUCAGCUAAUCCCGAAAAGCCGGUCUCAGUCCGGAUCGGAGUCUGCAACUCGACUCCGUGAAGUCGGAAUCGCUAGUAAUCGUGAAUCAGAAUGUCACGGUGAAUACGUUCCCGGGCCUUGUACACACCGCCCGU